CGAUGAUCUCCAGCUUGCUGGGGGGAUUAGUGGCGAACGGGUGAGUAACACGUGAGUAACCUGCCCUUGACUCUGGGAUAAGCCUGGGAAACUGGGUCUAAUACUGGAUACGACUCUUCACCGCAUGGUGGGGGGUGGAAAGCUUUUGUGGUUUUGGAUGGACUCGCGGCCUAUCAGCUUGUUGGUGGGGUAAUGGCCUACCAAGGCGACGACGGGUAGCCGGCCUGAGAGGGUGGACGGCCACACUGGGACUGAGACACGGCCCAGACUCCUACGGGAGGCAGCAGUGGGGAAUAUUGCACAAUGGGCGCAAGCCUGAUGCAGCGACGCCGCGUGAGGGAUGAAGGCCUUCGGGUUGUAAACCUCUUUCAGUAGGGAAGAAGCGAAAGUGACGGUACCUGCAGAAGAAGCGCCGGCUAACUACGUGCCAGCAGCCGCGGUAAUACGUAGGGCGCAAGCGUUAUCCGGAAUUAUUGGGCGUAAAGAGCUCGUAGGCGGUUUGUCGCGUCUGCCGUGAAAGUCCGGGGCUUAACUCCGGAUCUGCGGUGGGUACGGGCAGACUUGAGUGAUGUAGGGGAGACUGGAAUUCCUGGUGUAGCGGUGAAAUGCGCAGAUAUCAGGAGGAACACCGAUGGCGAAGGCAGGUCUCUGGGCAUUAACUGACGCUGAGGAGCGAAAGCAUGGGGAGCGAACAGGAUUAGAUACCCUGGUAGUCCAUGCCGUAAACGUUGGGCACUAGGUGUGGGGGACAUUCCACGUUUUCCGCGCCGUAGCUAACGCAUUAAGUGCCCCGCCUGGGGAGUACGGCCGCAAGGCUAAAACUCAAAGGAAUUGACGGGGGCCCGCACAAGCGGCGGAGCAUGCGGAUUAAUUCGAUGCAACGCGAAGAACCUUACCAAGGCUUGACAUGAACCGGAACGGCGCAGAGAUGUGUCGGCCACUUGUGGCCGGUUUACAGGUGGUGCAU
rnacentral:rRNA from 1 species